GUCCUUAUGGUCGAGUGGUUAGGGCGCGAGUCUUAUAUCACUAUGGUGCUGGGUUCGAUUCCCAGUGAGGUCA